CCUGCCCCUAGAGGCAUUGCAGGUAUGGCUGCUGUGUCACGUGUGUCAGUAGGUGACAGAGGAGAGAGGCAUUGUCUAUGCUUAGUGUUCUGAUUUGUGAACAUCUGAAUAACUUAUGAAUAUUUGAAUGAUUAGUAGCCUAACAUU
ensembl:snoRNA LOC120099494 small nucleolar RNA SNORA17